rnacentral:lncRNA from 12 species
CUUUUAUUAACAAACAAAGCUAGUAGCUAAAGUCAAUUUGAAUUCACGAGGAUUUUUGUCUCCCCAUAUGCCUUCAACUCCAGACAAUAUUUAGGACAAAUUGUUAUUGUUAUUGUUGUUGUUGUUGUUGUUGUUGUUGUUAUUAUUAUUAGUCCCUGACUGGUCUUUUUUGGUCAGCUCUACCCUCUUGCCCACAGAAGGCCAUUGCUCAUAUCUUAAACUGUUGUAACUCCAUUGAUUUUGAUAGAAUUUCAUGUGCCUGAUGAAAGAUCAAAGAGAGUCAUGCAGCCACAUGACCGUCAGUGCAUGCUUUCCCAUCUGAAUGGCAUUUGCAGGCUGUCAUUCUCACCAAGAGUUUAUCCAGAAGAACAAGGUCACAUGAAGCUAGUGCAAACCAAGGUUACUCUGCAGCCUUGCAAAGGAAAUAUCAGCAAGAGUUUUCAUCAUCUUCAUUCUAUUCCCUUCAGUAAUCUGGAAUGCUUUUAGUAAAUUGUUAGUUAUUUACAUUAAAUAGAAAAUAUUUCCUUUUAUCUGUGAAUGCUCUAAAAAAUCAGAAGUGGCCCCUGGCAUGUCCAAAUUGUGGGAAAGCUGCUCAGAUUUUUUGUCUUGACCACAAAGUGUAUUAGGAAUGAGAAUCUAUAAUGGGGGUUUUUUGUUGCUAAAAUGGGGCAUAUUUAAUGAGGUCGCUGUUUACAAAGUGAAUGGAUAUUGGGUGAUGUGUAAGUGAUCACUACGGGGGACCAUUGGCUCAUGAUGUCACUUGGUCUGGAGCUCAGUGAUGAUGUAACACCUCAAACACAAGUGUCCAGGAGAAGGGACUGCUGGCCUUGCCACAGGGCCAGGUUGGUACCAAGUGCUGCCACAAAGCAGAUGAUUCAGAAGCCACAGGGACAGAAUUUCUGAACCACAGCUCCUGACGUCUGUAAUGUCAUCCUCAGUGACACAGCUGCCCUCUUCCUGAUUUGAGAAAGGAGCAUGAUUUCUUCAGCUAUGUCCCAUGCCUCCAGUACAGACAGGACUGUGCUGCACUGUGGUACAGUGAGAUGUACUGUAUGUCAGCUAUAAUGAGUAGCAGGAACAAGCUGAUGCCAGAGUGGUUCCUCCUCUGGAAGGGGGGAGCAUUCCCACCCCUUGGGUUCGAG